rfam:Oryza barthii chromosome 4, whole genome shotgun sequence.
GAUAUUAACUGAAAAAGACAUCAACAACAAAGUUGAAUAACUCAUCAAGAUCUAAAACUUUUAUUUUGGUCAUUUCUUCAUACGACCAAAUGAUAGUAACAUUGUUCACAAAAUUGACAUAUCUCUUAUCUGGUUUAUAAACACUAUAACACAUAUACGUAAAUUUUGUGAAUAAUGUUACUAACAUUUUGUUGGAUGAAGAAAUAACAAAAAUAAAAGUUUUAGAUCUUGAUGAGUUAUUCAACUUUGUUGUUGAUGACUUUUUCAAUUGAAAUC